GGGGCCGUAGCCCAACGGCAGAGGCACGCGGUUUAGGUCCGCGCCAGUGAGGGUUCGACUCCCUCCGGCCCCA
rnacentral:tRNA from 1 species